GGCUCAGGAUGAACGCUGGCGGCGUGCCUAAUACAUGCAAGUCGAGCGAACGGACGAGAAGCUUGCUUCUCUGAUGUUAGCGGCGGACGGGUGAGUAACACGUGGAUAACCUACCUAUAAGACUGGGAUAACUUCGGGAAACCGGAGCUAAUACCGGAUAAUAUUUUGAACCGCAUGGUUCAAAAGUGAAAGACGGUCUUGCUGUCACUUAUAGAUGGAUCCGCGCUGCAUUAGCUAGUUGGUAAGGUAACGGCUUACCAAGGCAACGAUGCAUAGCCGACCUGAGAGGGUGAUCGGCCACACUGGAACUGAGACACGGUCCAGACUCCUACGGGAGGCAGCAGUAGGGAAUCUUCCGCAAUGGGCGAAAGCCUGACGGAGCAACGCCGCGUGAGUGAUGAAGGUCUUCGGAUCGUAAAACUCUGUUAUUAGGGAAGAACAUAUGUGUAAGUAACUGUGCACAUCUUGACGGUACCUAAUCAGAAAGCCACGGCUAACUACGUGCCAGCAGCCGCGGUAAUACGUAGGUGGCAAGCGUUAUCCGGAAUUAUUGGGCGUAAAGCGCGCGUAGGCGGUUUUUUAAGUCUGAUGUGAAAGCCCACGGCUCAACCGUGGAGGGUCAUUGGAAACUGGAAAACUUGAGUGCAGAAGAGGAAAGUGGAAUUCCAUGUGUAGCGGUGAAAUGCGCAGAGAUAUGGAGGAACACCAGUGGCGAAGGCGACUUUCUGGUCUGUAACUGACGCUGAUGUGCGAAAGCGUGGGGAUCAAACAGGAUUAGAUACCCUGGUAGUCCACGCCGUAAACGAUGAGUGCUAAGUGUUAGGGGGUUUCCGCCCCUUAGUGCUGCAGCUAACGCAUUAAGCACUCCGCCUGGGGAGUACGACCGCAAGGUUGAAACUCAAAGGAAUUGACGGGGACCCGCACAAGCGGUGGAGCAUGUGGUUUAAUUCGAAGCAACGCGAAGAACCUUACCAAAUCUUGACAUCCUUUGACAACUCUAGAGAUAGAGCCUUCCCCUUCGGGGGACAAAGUGACAGGUGGUGCAUGGUUGUCGUCAGCUCGUGUCGUGAGAUGUUGGGUUAAGUCCCGCAACGAGCGCAACCCUUGAGCUUAGUUGCCAUCAUUAAGUUGGGCACUCUAAGUUGACUGCCGGUGACAAACCGGAGGAAGGUGGGGAUGACGUCAAAUCAUCAUGCCCCUUAUGAUUUGGGCUACACACGUGCUACAAUGGACAAUACAAAGGGCAGCGAAACCGCGAGGUCAAGCAAAUCCCAUAAAGUUGUUCUCAGUUCGGAUUGUAGUCUGCAACUCGACUACAUGAAGCUGGAAUCGCUAGUAAUCGUAGAUCAGCAUGCUACGGUGAAUACGUUCCCGGGUCUUGUACACACCGCCCGUCACACCACGAGAGUUUGUAACACCUGAAGCCGGUGGAGUAACCUUUUAGGAGCUAGCCGUCGAAGGUGGGACAAAUGAUUGGGGUGAAGUCGUAACAAGGUAGCCGUAUCGGAAGGUGCGGCUGGAUCACCUCCUUU
rnacentral:rRNA from 1 species